rnacentral:rRNA from 1 species
GAUGAACGCUGGCGGCGUGCCUAAUACAUGCAAGUCGAGCGGACGGACGCGGCGCUUGCUUCUUUCAUGUUUGCGGCGCGCGGGUGAAUCACAUGUGGAUACCCUACCUAUCAUUCUGGUAUCAUUUCGGGACUCCGGCUAUUACACCAGAUGAUAUUUUGAACCGCAUGGUUCAAUGGUGAGAUACGGCCUUUCUGUCACUAAUCGAUGCUUCCGCGCUGCAUGAGAUAGUUGUUACGGUCACGGCUUACCAAGGCAAGUAUGCAUGGCCGAACGGAGAGGGUGAUCGGCCACACUGGAACGGAGACGCGGUCCAGACUCCUACGGGAGGCAGCAGUAGGGAAUCUGCCGCAAUGGGCGAGAGCCUGACGGAGCAGCGCCGCGUGAGUGAUGAAGGUCUUCGGAGCGGAAAACUCUGUUAUGAGGUAAGAACAGAUGUGGAAGUAACUGUGCACAGCGUGACGGUACCUAAUCAGAAAGCCACGGCUAACUACGUG